GCUCAAUGUGAAAUUCAGAUGGCCCAGUCCUCAUCCCUGUCUGCAUCUCUUGGAGACAGAGUUGCCAUCACUUGCAGGGCCAGUCAGGGUAUUAGCAAUGAUUUACAUUGGUACCAGCAGAGA